AUGAACGCUAGCUACAGGCUUAACACAUGCAAGUCGAGGGGCAGCAUGGUCUUAGCUUGCUAAGGCCGAUGGCGACCGGCGCACGGGUGAGUAACACGUAUCCAACCUGCCGUCUACUCUUGGACAGCCUUCUGAAAGGAAGAUUAAUACAAGAUGGCAUCAUGAGUCCGCAUGUUCACAUGAUUAAAGGUAUUCCGGUAGACGAUGGGGAUGCGUUCCAUUAGAUAGUAGGCGGGGUAACGGCCCACCUAGUCUUCGAUGGAUAGGGGUUCUGAGAGGAAGGUCCCCCACAUUGGAACUGAGACACGGUCCAAACUCCUACGGGAGGCAGCAGUGAGGAAUAUUGGUCAAUGGGCGAGAGCCUGAACCAGCCAAGUAGCGUGAAGGAUGACUGCCCUAUGGGUUGUAAACUUCUUUUAUAAAGGAAUAAAGUCGGGUAUGGAUACCCGUUUGCAUGUACUUUAUGAAUAAGGAUCGGCUAACUCCGUGCCAGCAGCCGCGGUAAUACGGAGGAUCCGAGCGUUAUCCGGAUUUAUUGGGUUUAAAGGGAGCGUAGAUGGAUAUUUAAGUCAGUUGUGAAAGUUUGCGGCUCAACCGUAAAAUUGCAGUUGAUACUGGAUAUCUUGAGUGCAGUUGAGGCAGGCGGAAUUCGUGGUGUAGCGGUGAAAUGCUUAGAUAUCACGAAGAACUCCGAUUGCGAAGGCAGCCUGCUAAGCUGCAACUGACAUUGAGGCUCGAAAGUGUGGGUAUCAAACAGGAUUAGAUACCCUGGUAGUCCACACGGUAAACGAUGAAUACUCGCUGUUUGCGAUAUACUGCAAGCGGCCAAGCGAAAGCGUUAAGUAUUCCACCUGGGGAGUACGCCGGCAACGGUGAAACUCAAAGGAAUUGACGGGGGCCCGCACAAGCGGAGGAACAUGUGGUUUAAUUCGAUGAUACGCGAGGAACCUUACCCGGGCUUAAAUUGCAGAUGAAUUACGGUGAAAGCCGUAAGCCGCGAGGCAUCUGUGAAGGUGCUGCAUGGUUGUCGUCAGCUCGUGCCGUGAGGUGUCGGCUUAAGUGCCAUAACGAGCGCAACCCUUGUUGUCAGUUACUAACAGGUUCCGCUGAGGACUCUGACAAGACUGCCAUCGUAAGAUGUGAGGAAGGUGGGGAUGACGUCAAAUCAGCACGGCCCUUACGUCCGGGGCUACACACGUGUUACAAUGGGGGGUACAGAGGGCCGCUACCACGCGAGUGGAUGCCAAUCCCCAAAACCUCUCUCAGUUCGGACUGGAGUCUGCAACCCGACUCCACGAAGCUGGAUUCGCUAGUAAUCGCGCAUCAGCCACGGCGCGGUGAAUACGUUCCCGGGCCUUGUACACACCGCCCGUCAAGCCAUGGGAGCCGGGGGUACCUGAAGUGCGUAACCGCGAGGAGCGCCCUAGGGUAAAACUGGUGACUGGGGCU
rnacentral:rRNA from 1 species